CCUACGGGAGGCAGCAGUGGGGAAUCUUUGCGCAAUGGGGGGAACCCUGACGCAGCGACGCCGCGUGCGGGACGGAGGCCUUCGGGUCGUAAACCGCUUUCAGCAGGGAAGAGUCAAGACUGUACCUGCAGAAGAAGCCCCGGCUAACUACGUGCCAGCA
rnacentral:rRNA from 1 species